GAAUGUGAGGGUGAUCUGGCUGCAACAUCUGUCACCCCAUUGAUCGCCAGGGUUGAUUCGGCUGAUCUGGCUUGCUAGGCAGGUGUCCCCUUCUUCCCUCAUCGCUUCAUGUGCAUCCCUCCCAAAGCUGCAUGCUCGGUGGAAGAGGAUGACCAUCCCAGAUAGAAGGAGUGUACCGAUCUUCGGUCAAGGGUAUACGAUAGCAUUACUAAGCAAGCAAUUUUUAAGUGACUCAUGCCCAAUUUUACAACCUUNUGACUCAUGCCCAAUUUUACAACCUUUUUUGACAUGGUUAAGUGAAUCACUGUAAUUGUUA
rnacentral:snRNA from 1 species